rnacentral:misc_RNA from 1 species
UGACACCACAUAUCUCGCAUAUCCUGAAAAUGAGAGGAGAGGAAAAGUGUGCCUGAAAAAUGACCACACUUGUACUUGAGUUAGCCACUCAUAACAAAAUUUGUCCUACUAAGUAACAAAAAUUGUCCAGUUUCUAUUAGUCUCAGCUGGCCACCCUUUCCUGUCGCCACUGGACAACACUCAAACAAAGCUGAGCAGCGAGACGUAG